AUUGAACGCUGGCGGCAUGCCUUACACAUGCAAGUCGAACGGUAACGGGCCUUCGGGUGCCGACGAGUGGCGAACGGGUGAGUAAUGUAUCGGAACGUACCUUUCAGUGGGGGAUAACGUAGCGAAAGUUACGCUAAUACCGCAUAUUCUGUGAGCAGGAAAGCAGGGGAUCGCAAGACCUUGCGCUGAUUGAGCGGCCGAUAUCAGAUUAGCUAGUUGGUGAGGUAAAGGCUCACCAAGGCGACGAUCUGUAGCGGGUCUGAGAGGAUGAUCCGCCACCCUGGAACUGAGACACGGUCCAGACUCCUACGGGAGGCAGCAGUGGGGAAUUUUGGACAAUGGGGGCAACCCUGAUCCAGCCAUGCCGCGUGAGUGAAGAAGGCCUUCGGGUUGUAAAGCUCUUUCGGCCGGGAAGAAAUCGUAUCCGCUAAUACCUGGUGCGGAUGACGGUACCGGCAUAAGAAGCACCGGCUAACUACGUGCCAGCCGCCGCAGUAACAC
rnacentral:rRNA from 1 species